UACAACCAUAUCACAUUGAAACACUGGUUCCCGUACAGUCACUGAAGUUAAGCAACACUGAGCCUGGUCAGUACCUAGAUGAGUGAUCACUUAGGAAUAUCAGAUGCUGUAAG